rnacentral:rRNA from 1 species
AUUGAACGCUGGCGGCAGGCCUAACACAUGCAAGUCGAGCGGAUGAAGGGAGCUUGCUCCUGGAUUCAGCGGCGGACGGGUGAGUAAUGCCUAGGAAUCUGCCUCGUAGUGGGGGGUAACGUCCGGAAACGGGCGCUAAUACCGCAUACGUCCUGAGGGAGAAAGUGGGGGGUCUUCGGACCUCACGCUAUCAGAUGAGCCUAGGUCGGGUUAGCUAGUUUGUGGGGUAAAGGCCUACCUAGGCGACGAUCCGUAACUGGUCUGAGAGGAUGAUCAGUCACACUGGAGCUUAGACACGGUCAAGACUACUGCGGGAGGCAGCAGUCGGCAAUGUGGGACAGCGGGCGAAAGCCUGAUCCAGCCAUGCCGCGUGUGUGAAGAAGGUCUUCGGAUUGUAAAGCACUUUUAGUGGGGAGGAACGGCAGUAAGUUAAUACCUAGCUGGUGUGACGGUAACGACAGAAUAAGCACCGGCUAACUUCGUG